rnacentral:rRNA from 1 species
GGAUGCUUAUUUUACGUCUGACCUGCCCGGUGAUUUAUUUAACGGCCGCGGUAUUUUGACCGUGCAAAGGUAGCAUAAUCAUUUGUCUUUUAAUUGGAGGCUGGAAUGAAUGGUUUGACGAGGGAGCGUCUUUAUUAUUAUAAAUUCAAAAACUUAACUUUUGAGUCAAAAGGCUUAAAUUUUUUUAUGGGACGAGAAGACCCUAUAGAGCUUUACUUUACUUUUAUUAUAUAUAUCUUUGAUUUUUUUAUAUUUAUAUUAAGAUAUAAGUUAAAUUGGGGCGAUUUUGAGGAUUUUUUAACCCUCAAUUAUUUAUUUCACUAAUGAGUGUUUUGAUCCAUUAUUAAUGAUUAUAAGAUUAAGCUACCUUAGGGAUAACAGCGUAAUUUAUUUGGAGAGUUCUUAUCGAUAAAUAAGAUUGCGA